rnacentral:misc_RNA from 1 species
UUUCCGUAGGUGAACCUGCGGAAGGAUCAUUACAGAGUUCAUGCCCUCACGGGUAGAUCUCCCACCCUUGAAUAUUUAUACCUUAGUUGCUUUGGCAGGCCGUGGAAACACCAUGGGCUCCGGCUUAUGCGUGCCUGCCAGAGGAAACAAACUCUGACAUUAGUGAUGUCUGAGUACUAUAUAAUAGUUAAAACUUUCAACAACGGAUCUCUUGGUUCUG